AGAGUUUGAUCCUGGCUCAGAUUGAACGCUGGCGGCAGGCCUAACACAUGCAAGUCGAACGGUAGCACAGAGAGCUUGCUCUCGGGUGACGAGUGGCGGACGGGUGAGUAAUAUCUGGGAAACUGCCUGAUGGAGGGGGAUAACUACUGGAAACGGUAGCUAAUACCGCAUAACGUCGCAAGACCAAAGAGGGGGACCUUCGGGCCUCUUGCCAUCGGAUGUGCCCAGAUGGGAUUAGCUUGUUGGUGAGGUAACGGCUCACCAAGGCGACGAUCCCUAGCUGGUCUGAGAGGAUGACCAGCCACACUGGAACUGAGACACGGUCCAGACUCCUACGGGAGGCAGCAGUGGGGAAUAUUGCACAAUGGGCGCAAGCCUGAUGCAGCCAUGCCGCGUGUAUGAAGAAGGCCUUCGGGUUGUAAAGUACUUUCAGCGAGGAGGAAGGCGGUAAGGUUAAUAACCUUAUCGAUUGACGUUACUCGCAGAAGAAGCACCGGCUAACUCCGUGCCAGCAGCCGCGGUAAUACGGAGGGUGCAAGCGUUAAUCGGAAUUACUGGGCGUAAAGCGCACGCAGGCGGUCUGUCAAGUCGGAUGUGAAAUCCCCGGGCUCAACCUGGGAACUGCAUUCGAAACUGGCACGCUAGAGUCUUGUAGAGGGGGGGUAGAAUUCCAGGUGUAGCGGUGAAAUGCGUAGAGAUCUGGAGGAAUACCGGUGGCGAAAGCCGGCCCCCUGGACAAAGACUGACGCUCAGUGCGAAAGCGUGGGGGAGCAAACAGAUUAGAUACCCUGGUAGUCCACGCCGUAAACGAUGUCGGACUUGGAAGUGUGCCCUUGACGCGUGCUUGCAGGAGCUACCGCGUAAGUCGAUCUGACUUGGGAGUUACCGACGGCAAGGUU
rnacentral:rRNA from 1 species